UACGUAGGUGGCGAGCGUUGUCCGGAAUUACUGGGUGUAAAGGGCGCGUAGGCGGGGAUGCAAGUUAGAUGUGAAAUACCGGGGCUCAACUCCGGGGCUGCAUCUAAAACUGUGUUUCUUGAGUGCUGGAGAGGGAAGCGGAAUUCCUAGUGUAGCGGUGAAAUGCGUAGAUAUUAGGAGGAACACCAGUGGCGAAGGCGGCUUCCUGGACAGCAACUGACGCUGAGGCGCGAAAGCACGGGUAGCAAACAGGAUUAGAUACCCUGGUAGUCCGUGCCGUAAACUAUGGAUACUAGGUGUAGGGGAUUUUAUAUUCUCUGUGCCGCAGUUAACACAAUAAGUAUCCCACCUGGGGAGUACGGCCGCAAGGUUGAAACUCAAAGGAAUUGACGGGGGCCCGCACAAGCAGUGGAGUAUGUGGUUUAAUUCGAAGCAACGCGAAGAACCUUACCAGGUCUUGACAUCCCUCGAAUAACAUAGAAAUAUGUUAGUCCUUCGGGACGAGGAGACAGGUGGUGCAUGGUU
rnacentral:rRNA from 1 species